rnacentral:rRNA from 1 species
CCCUUAGAGUUUGAUCCUGGCUCAGAAUCAACGCUGGCGGCGCGCUUAACACAUGCAAGUCGAGCGAGAAAGGGGAGCAAUCCCUGAGUAAAGCGGCGUACGGGUGAGUAACACGUGGAUGAUCUACCUUUUAGUGGGGAAUAACCCUGGGAAACCGGGGCUAAUACCGCAUAAUCCUGUGAAGGGAAAGCGAGCAAUCGCGCUGAAAGAGGAGUCCGCGGCCGAUUAGCUAGUUGGUGAGGUAAUGGCUCACCAAGGCGGUGAUCGGUAGCCGGCCUGAGAGGGCACACGGCCACACUGGCACUGAAACACGGGCCAGACUCCUACGGGAGGCAGCAGUGGGGAAUCUUGCACAAUGGAGGCAACUCUGAUGCAGCGACGCCGCGUGAGCGAUGAAGCCCUUCGGGGUGUAAAGCUCUUUCGGCAGGGACGAUAAUGACGGUACCUGAAGAAGAAGCUGCGGCUAACUACGUGCCAGCAGCCGCGGUAAUACGUAGGCAGCGAGCGUUGUUCGGAAUUACUGGGCGUAAAGAGUGUGUAGGCGGUGCUCUAAGUUCGGUGUGAAAUCUCCUGGCUUAACUGGGAGGGUGCGCCGGAAACUGGAGUGCUCGAGCGUGGGAGAGGAAAGCGGAAUUCCUGGUGUAGCGGUGAAAUGCGUAGAUAUCAGGAGGAACACCUGUGGGUGUAGACGGCUUUCUGGACCAUUGCUGACGCUGAGACACGAAAACGUGGGUAGCAAACAGAUUAGAUACCCUGGUAGUCCACGCCCUAAACGAUGCAUACUUGGUGUCGGCCAUUCAGUUG